UGGUGGCGAUAGCGAAGAGGUCACACCCGUUCCCAUACCGAACACGGAAGUUAAGCUCUUCAGCGCCGAUGGUAGUUGGGGGUUUCCCCCUGUGAGAGUAGGACGCCGCCAAGC
rnacentral:rRNA from 1 species